rnacentral:tRNA from 1 species
GGGUCGUAGUUCAGUUGGUCAGAACGCCGGCCUGUCACGCCGGAGGCCGCGGGUUCAAGUCCCGUCGACCC